AAAUUUCAAUUUUUUUUUGACACCCUGGGUUGACUCCUCCUGCUUCGCAUCGUUACGUUUCUCCAAUAGUCAAAUUUCGAAGUUAAAGCAGAAAUGUUUCCACUUUGAAUGAAAAGAAGGCGGUUGAGCACUGAGCCAACUUUGACUGUCCUUCUGGGCUAAGUGUGUCUUCGCACUAAUCCCGCCUAAUCGACUGACCCUGCGGCCCCGGAGCUGGAGAGAAAGUGAAUGUCACUUGCAACCUAACGUUCCAGCUGCCAAAAACAAAGCAGAGCAGACGAAGCCAACAAGCAUCAUUCUCGGUUCUCGGAUCGGAAUCAAAUCGACCGCAAAAGAGCAAAGAUGCGAGAAAAAAACUGCUCAUGACCAAUCCAGAAACAAGAUUCAUAUUGGAAUCUCAUAUUUUGAAAGGGACACCAACAAAUGAACAUGUUCCAAGCACACCAAGACAGUCGUGAAGAGGGCACAAAACCCACUCCACCUCAGGAGACUGAAAAGAUUUGGCAUGGGUCCUCAGAUCCUCAAAAGGAUCUACAGCCGCACCAUCAAGAGCAUCCUGACGGGUUGCAUCACUGCCUGACUCAGAAGGAUGACGCCCAGCUCAUCAGGACCAAUCUGAGAAGACAACAACCUGUCCAGAACCAACCAAAUGACCAGAACUUCCAGACUCAACCUACUUUCUGUGUUGUAUAAAAUGUCUAUGCAUUCUGUUAUCUGGGCUUUUUUCUGGAGGUUCUCUAUGAGCUAAAGGAACGAGUCCGUAUACGCUUGUACCAGAUAUCUUUACUCUUAAAUUAAAA